rnacentral:rRNA from 1 species
UACGUAGGGGGCUAGCGUUGUCCGGAAUCAUUGGGCGUAAAGCGCGUGUAGGCGGUCCAGUAAGUCCGCUGUGAAAGUCGGGGGCUCAACCCUCGAAUGCCGGUGGAUACUGUCGGGCUAGAGUGCGGAAGAGGCGAGUGGAAUUCCUGGUGUAGCGGUGAAAUGCGCAGAUAUCAGGAGGAACACCAAUUACGAAGGCAGCUCGCUGGGACGUUACUGACGCUGAGACGCGAAAGCGUGGGGAGCAAACAGG